GGAAGUGGAAAGGGCACUGGUGGCCCUCCCGGACUUCAAAUCCGGUGAGGGGGGUUAAUGGCCUCCCUGGUGGGUUCGAUUCCCAUGCACUUCCGCCA
rnacentral:tRNA from 1 species